rnacentral:sRNA from 1 species
UAAGAAAGCAGAGAUAGAACAAUGGAUGCACUGCAUGGGCAUCGGCAUGUUCUGGAAACAAACAGUUAAUUUUCCAUUCAUUUAAAACUUCAAACUCAUUCACAACCACCAUUAAACCGUGUCCACUGUUCAUCUCAAUCUGUCUCUCUCCCUUUAACUGUGUGAUUUUAUUACAAUAUGUCUAGGAAGGCGCAUUCUUCAAUCUCAGGACACAAAUUUAAGAACACUCUUCACCGUGAGUGAGUAAUUGCUUCGCUGCCACGCUUGUGGAAUGUCUGUUUGACAUCAUUAGUUCUUUCUCGUCAAUCUCUUAUUGAACUAGUGUCUUUUUUGGUUAGUUUGGUAAUUGAUAGUUAAGGGUGAUGCACGAGAACUUAAGGCAGUAUUUGAGGAAAUACUGUUAUUGGUGAUAGAUAUUCUUGAUUGAUUGUUCAGAGUGUGUGUGUGUGUGUGUGUGUGAGAGAGAGAGAGAGAGAGAGAGAGAGAGAGA